UACAGAGGGUGCGAGCGUUAAUCGGAUUUACUGGGCGUAAAGGGCGCGUAGGCGGUGAUGUGAGUGUGAUGUGAAAGCCCCGGGCUUAACCUGGGAAGUGCAUCGCAAACGACAUGACUGGAGUAGAUGAGAGGGUGGCGGAAUUUCCUGUGUAGCGGUGAAAUGCGUAGAUAUAGGAAGGAACACCAGUGGCGAAGGCGACCACCUGGACUGAUACUGACACUGAGGUGCGAAAGCGUGGGGAGCAAACAGGAUUAGAAACCCUGGUAGU
rnacentral:rRNA from 1 species